rnacentral:rRNA from 1 species
UACGUAGGGCGCAAGCGUUGUCCGGAAUUAUUGGGCGUAAAGAGCUCGUAGGCGGCUUGUCGCGUCGUCCGUGAAAACCUGCAGCUCAACUGCAGGCUUGCGGUCGAUACGGGCAGGCUAGAGUUCGGUAGGGGAGACUGGAAUUCCUGGUGUAGCGGUGAAAUGCGCAGAUAUCAGGAGGAACACCGGUGGCGAAGGCGGGUCUCUGGGCCGAUACUGACGCUGAGGAGCGAAAGCGUGGGGAGCGAACAGG